GGAAAUGUCACUUUUAAAAAUACAUAUCGUGGAAGAGUAUACAUGUUUGCCCAGAGUGAAUCAAUCCCUUCACAGUGAGCCAUUCAAAAGAUUUGAAUCGUUUGGAAGACCACGUGACUGGAAUUUUCCAGAGGCUAAAGACCGUUGCUCCGCCAGCUUCGUUUUCAAACAAGUGACGACGACAGACGGUUCAACUUCGAGGAAGAGCUAACGUUUGCGCUUUCGCUAAUAUUUGGCUACAAACUCACACAUUUGAGUUUUAUUCGUAAAUUAUCGUUUUGAUAUAUGUUUUGAAGGCAAUUAUCUUGCCAUAUAUUCUUUACAUCGGCGUUAUCACCAGAACAAAGGUUUCAAGCUUCAGUCGACUCGCUUGUGUCCGAAAACAAAACAAUGGCUAAGGGAGAAGAAUCGCACUCUGAAAUGGCCCACGAUCGUCAGAGUGAUGGCAUCAAUGUGAUCUUUGACCAAAACAGCCCUGCCUCAUCUCGGUCCCGCUCACGAUCUAGAAGCAGUAGUGGCAGCAAACUCUCACCUGGCUCUGGCCGCUUUAGGGGACGUGGUAGCCACAGGAGACGCCACAAGUCCUCAUCCAGCAGCAGGUCCCCCACUCAUACGCGGUCACGCUCUCACACUCGUUGCCGUAGGCCUUCGUCCCACUGCCGCUGUGACAACCAUCGCAAAAAUGGCCGUGGCCGCCAAUCCCCACCACGGCGCUCCAGGGCCCACUCCAGGUCUUCCAGCCGUCGGAGCAGGAGGGCUGCGAGCCCGUCUUCCCAAUCCAUAACCCACAGAGGCGAUUCAAGAUCCGGAUCUUCAGAGAACUCUGUCAAUUUGAGUUUGGAUGACAAAGGAGAACUCCUCACAGCUGCAAAGGUCAUUGCUACUACAAUCCUAGAAGUGGAAAAGCUGGAGCUUCCUGAGAGUGUGAAACCAAUCCUAUUGGAGCAGUCGGAGUUCAAACGGGUGUCGCUAGAUACAUGGGUGAGACAAGACCCUGAAAAGACUCUGUCACAGAUAACAUGACAGUGGUCUCCUUCACUCAUCGGCACCUGGGAUUAAAGGGCUGUCAUGUGACUUGGGUGACAACAAUGUAUUUGCGUGAAAGUUUAUCUGAUACCUCUUUAAAUGUUCACAAUGUGUAAGUUUAUCAACUGGAGGCUUGCAAUUGAACAAACACAUA
ensembl:lncRNA arginine and serine rich protein 1